GAUGAACGUUGGCGGUGUGCCUAAUACAUGCAAGUCGAACGGAGAUUGUAGCAAUACGGUCUUAGUGGCGAACGGGUGAGUAACGCGUUGGUGAUCUGCCUCGAAGUGUGGAAUAACGAUUCGAAAGAAUCGCUAAUACCGCAUACGUUCGUCGGGCUGUGGCCUGACGAGGAAAGGCGCUUCGGCGCCACCCGGAGAUGAGCCCGCGUCCCAUUAGCUAGUUGGUGAGGUAACGGCCCACCAAGGCGAUGAUGGGUAGGCGGCCUGAGAGGGUGUACGCCCACACUGGGACUGAGAUACGGCCCAGACUCCUACGGGAGGCAGCAGCUAAGAAUAUUCCGCAAUGG
rnacentral:rRNA from 1 species